GGCUCUAUAGUGUAGUGGUUAGCAUGUCUGCUUUAUACGCAGAAGGUCCUAGGGUUUGUGCCCUAGGUGGAGCCA
rnacentral:tRNA from 1 species